AGCUUUGCGCAGUGGCGAUAUCGUAACCAAUGAGGUUCUACCGAGGUGCGAUUUUUGCUAGUUGAAAACUAUCAUGAAAUAAUGAAAAAUUCUCUCAUUUCAGCCUUGUAUUUAAAAAAAAUAUUCAUAAACGGUCUUGACCC